GGGCAGUUAGCUCAGCUGGUUAGAGCACGUCGUUGACGUCGACGGGGUCGGGGGUUCGAGUCCCUCACUGCCCACCA
rnacentral:tRNA from 1 species